rnacentral:rRNA from 1 species
GGGGAAUAUUGCACAAUGGGCGAAAGCCUGAUGCAGCAACGCCGCGUGAGUGAUGAAGGUCUUCGGAUUGUAAAGCUCUGUCUUUUGGGACGAUAAUGACGGUACCAAAGGAGGAAGCCACGGCUAACUACGUGCCAGCAGCCGCGGUAAUACGUAGGUGGCGAGCGUUGUCCGGAUUUACUGGGCGUAAAGGGUGCGUAGGCGGAUGUUUAAGUGAGAUGUGAAAUACCCGGGCUUAACUUGGGUGCUGCACUUCAAACUGGAUAUCUAGAGUGCAGGAGAGGAGAAUGGAAUUCCUAGUGUAGCGGUGAAAUGCGUAGAGAUUAGGAAGAACACCAGUGGCGAAGGCGAUUCUCUGGACUGUAACUGACGCUGAGGCACGAAAGCGUGGGUAGCAAACAGGAUUAGAUACCCUGGUAGUCCACGCCGUAAACGAUGAGUACUAGGUGUAGGAGGUAUCGACCCCUUCUGUGCCGCAGUAAACACAUUCAAGUACUCCGCCUGGGAAGUACGAUCGCAAGAUUAAAACUCUAAAGUGAAUUGACGGGGUC